AUCAAUAUUGGGAAGACAAAAAGUGAAGACUGAGGAAAGAAUUGGGGUGGGAGGUUGAGGGUCUGGGAACCCCGGAGAGAGGGAAGAAAUGAGAGGAAUAAAACUGGGGACCUGAGGCAGCAGGGAGCUCAGAGGUUAAACGGGAGCCACGGUAGAGGAGUAAAGGGGCUGAGUGCAGGGUCAGAGGAAGGGGUCGUUUUAUAAAAAAAAAAAUGGGAGCCGGAAAAAGGAAGCCCAUUGGAAAAUGGAGGAUGAAAACGAAAAUGCUGUGGUUAUAAGGGGUAGAGGGCAAGGGGCAAACAGCCAGAGAAAAAGAGUGGGGUUCCAAAAGUGGACCAGCCAGAUGAACUUGAGUGUGACCCAGGAAACAGGGAACAGAAGUGAAAGCAGGCAGAGGUAAAAUGAAGGGCUGGAGAAACAAGCUGGUAAAAAACACACACACAACAUGGAGUGAAAAUUGCUCAGUCGUGUCCGACUUUUGGGGACCCCAUGGACACAGUCCAUGGAAUUCACCAGGCCAGAAUACUGGAGUGGGUAGCCUUUCCUGUCUCCAGAGGAUCUUCCCGACCCAGGGAUCGAACCCUGGUCUCCCGCAUUGCAGGCGGAUUCUUGACCAGCUGAGCCACAAGGGAAGCCCCAGCACAUGGAGAGACUGGAUUAAAACGAACGUGGGAAACAGGUGACAGUAGGAAACAUGGAUUUGGUUAGAAGGUUCUGAUAAGUAUAUCUCCUGGUCUCCAGUUCAUAAUUCAUUCAGGGCUCAGAUAUACGUGACAGCAGUCACAGCUCAGCUGGACAAGGGUUUAUCAUGUUUGGCACCAUGACCCUGAAGCUCCCAUUUGCAAGGGGAAAAUCCUUUCUUGAAGAUUUCCUAUCAUCAGGUGUGCACGCAAGAGAAGAGGAAGUCACGGGGAGCAUUUCCGUCAUCUUGCAAAUCUUUGUCUGCCUUCCAGGAAUUUCAUCUCCAGGAGAGCAAAAAUCCACAGGUGAACUCUGAUGAUGCCCUGGUCUGGAACCAUUCUACAGAGAAUGAAAGGCCCAGGCAGCAGCUGGCAUCUAACUGAACAGCUGACAUCUUUUUUCCUUCCACUAGAGAA